GACGAACGCUGGCGGCGUGCUUAACACAUGCAAGUCGAACGGAAAGGCCCUGCUUGCAGGGUACUCGAGUGGCGAACGGGUGAGUAACACGUGGGUGAUCUGCCCUGCACUUCGGGAUAAGCCUGGGAAACUGGGUCUAAUACCGGAUAGGAGCCAUUUUUAGUGUGAUGGUUGGAAAGUUUUUUCGGUGUAGGAUGAGCUCGCGGCCUAUCAGCUUGUUGGUGGGGUAAUGGCCUACCAAGGCGGCGGCGGGUAGCCGGCCUGAGAGGGUGGACGGCCACAUUGGGACUGAGGGACGGCCCAGACUCCGACGGGAGGCAGCAGUGGGGAAUAUUGCACAAGGGGCGCAAGCCUGAUGCAGCGACGCCGCGUGGGGGAUGACGGCCUUCGGGUUGUAAACUCCUUUCGCUAGGGACGAAGCUUUUUGUGACGGUACCUAGAUAAGAAGCACCGGCUAACUACGUG
rnacentral:rRNA from 1 species